GCGCGUGUAGUUCAGUGGUAGAACGCUGUCCUGAUAAGACAGAGGUCGAAGGUUCGAUCCCUUCCACGCGCACCU
rnacentral:tRNA from 1 species